GACGAACGCUGGCGGCGUGCCUAACACAUGCAAGUCGAGCGAAGCGGCGGAUGGGUGAGCAAUGCCUGGGGAACCUGCCACAAAGUCUGGGAAACCAUGUGGAAACAGCUGCUAAUACCGGACAAUAAAGGAUCAAGCUGCGAUCCAUUAGCUAGUUGGUGAGGUAACGGCUUACCAAGGCGAUGAUGCAUAGCCGAGUUGAGAGGGUGAUCGGCCACAUUGGGACUGAGACACGGCCCAAACUCCUACGGGAGGCAGCAGUAGGGAAUCGUCCACAAUGGGCGAAAGUCUGAUGGAGGAACGCCGCGUGAGUGAAGAAGGUUUGCGGAUCGUAAAGCUCUGUUGUUGGUGAAGCGGUAAUCAACCAGAAAGUAACGGCUAACUACGGGCCAGCAGCCGCGGUAAUAC
rnacentral:rRNA from 1 species